rnacentral:rRNA from 1 species
AGAAUCAACGCUGGCGGCGUGCCUCAGACAUGCAAGUCGAACGCGAAAGUCCCUUUCGGGGACAAGUAGAGUGGCGCACGGGUGAGUAACACGUAGGUAAUCUACCUUUGGAUGGGGAAUAACAACCGGAAACGGUUGCUAAUACCGCAUAAUGCAGCGGCACCUAAUGGUGACAGUUGUUAAAGCGGGGGAUCGAAAGACCUCGCGUCUAAAGAGGAGCCUGCGGCGGAUUAGCUAGUUGGUAAGGUAACGGCUUACCAAGGCCACGAUCCGUAGCC